UACAGAGACUGCAAGCGUUAUUCGGAUUCACUGGGCGUAAAGGGUGCGCAGGCGGCCGAGUGUGUGAGGCGUGAAAGCCCGGGGCUUAACCCCGGAAUUGCACCUCAAACUACACGGCUAGAGCAUUGGAGAGGGUAGCAGAAUUCAUGGUGUAGCAGUGAAAUGCGUAGAUAUCAUGAGGAAUACCAGAGGCGAAGGCAGCUCUCUGGGACGGUACUGACGCUGAGACGCGAAAGCGUGGGGAGCGAACAGG
rnacentral:rRNA from 1 species